rnacentral:misc_RNA from 1 species
UCCGGCUUACCGCCGGCAGUUUCCUCAGAGUUCUCAGCUUGACCUGUUAGCAACAGAGGAUGAGGGUUGCGCUCGUUGCGGGACUUAACCCAACAUCUCACGACACGAGCUGACGACAGCCAUGCAGCACCUGUGCACCUCCCACCCGAAGUGAAGGAACCCGUUUCUGGGUUCCAUAGAGGGCAUGUCAAGGCCUGGUAAGGUUCUUCGCGUUGCCUCGAAUUAAACCACAUGUUCCACCGCUUGUGCGGGUCCCCGUCAAUUCCUUUGAGUUUUAAUCUUGCGACCGUACUCCCCAGGCGGGAUGCUUAACGCGUUAGCUACGCCACUGAGGGGUAACCCCCCAACGGCUAGCAUCCAUCGUUUACGGCGUGGACUAC